GUGCAUGUGUUGUUUUCAGUCUCCUCGAACAACCAGGUAACCAUUAACCUUCACCGGUCAGAAUCUAAAGACAAGAAUCAUGGGGGUGAAGAUAAAAGUCGAAUACUGGUAAGAUUCUUUACUUCGUAUCCAAGUGCACCUGUCUUUGAAGUAAUGUUGUUCCUCAUAGUAAAUUUUUGCAAUGCAUUGGUAGGUAUUUUGAACAGUUCGUGUAAAGAGCCGUUUCAUAACCCGGGCAUGCUCUAAAUUUUUCAAAUAAAGUCAUUUUUAUUAAUAAUAAUGGUGUUUAUUGUAUUUCAUGUGUCCAAGUUCAAGUUUGUCGCAGCUCUGAUUCACGAAAAAGGUUAAAACUUAAGUCAUUUUACGUUAAACUAAACUUAAAAUGCAUUUGCAUCAAUGAGUCGGCGAAUUGUUGACUCGAGAACCUCGCGGACAGUAAAUGAAUCAUUCGGAUGUUUUGUGAACCGGUUCAACCAGUUCUCUGAAACAGACAUCGCGAGUGUUGUUAUCGUAGAAACCGGUUUAGGCAGUCGUGUUUUCAACUUCUGAAAAAAAGCCUGUUAUGACUGAGCAUAUUUUAAACAGAAAUAACCAGUCUUCUUUAACCCACCAGCGGCGGAUGAGGCUACGAGCCUCGUUUCCGGGAGCUGAAGCGAGGUAUCAACGCCAAGUGUCCUGAUGCCGAGGUGUCAGGCUUCGUGGGCCGGAGAGGUUGAGUACACCGUGUCCUUAUGACUCUCCACGUAUAGACACUAUAGUCAUAUAGCAUACUAGCAUACAUAAAUUCCUCAUGAACUAAAUAAAUGAAACGUUUGUGGCGUUCACAGUGUCACCUGUGUCUGUGGCCAGUAUGUUAACAUAUUCUCUCUUUCCUUUUUCCUGUAUGAAGUUUUGAGGUACAGAUCAAUGAACAUCUGGUCUUCUCAAAAUUAGAAACAGGAGGUUUCCCCUAUGAAGAGGAUAUUGUGGAGGCCCUUGUUAAGGCUAAGGAUGGAAAGCCUGAAAAGAUCACCAAAAGCCAUAAAGAGUGCAUCAUCCUCUAAUGCUUUGGCCUCUGAUGCCCAUUACCAUCUCAGCUCCCAUCCACACAAGCAUCUUACUGGUCUAUUGCAGAAAAUGGUUUAAUUGUUUUUGAAGCUCUUUACUUGUCUCCUUUAUCACUCUAGUUUUUUUGGACGUAAAUGAUUGCCAUAGCUCAAAGUUAAGAAAAUUAUGGGAUGAAGCUUUAGUCCAGAAAACUCUGAACCCAGUUUAGAGUAAUAAAGAAGAUCGUGAAGAGAAGAGUGUGUUUUUCUUUUCUUUUUUUUAAUGGUCAGUUUCUUGACAGAAUAAUAAUUAUAUUCG
rnacentral:lncRNA from 1 species